rnacentral:rRNA from 1 species
GGCGGACGCUGGCGGCGUGCUUAACACAUGCAAGUCGAACGGAAAGGCCCCAGCUUGCUGGGGUACUCGAGUGGCGAACGGGUGAGUAACACGUGGGUGAUCUGCCCUGCACUCUGGGAUAAGCCUGGGAAACUGGGUCUAAUACCGGAUAGGACCGUGCUUUAGUGUGUGCGGUGGAAAGUUUUUCGGUGCAGGAUGAGCCCGCGGCCUAUCAGCUUGUUGGUGGGGUAAUGGCCUACCAAGGCGGCGACGGGUAGCCGGCCUGAGAGGGUGUACGGCCACAUUGGGACUGAGACACGGCCCAGACUCCUACGGGAGGCAGCAGUGGGGAAUAUUGCACAAUGGGCGCAAGCCUGAUGCAGCGACGCCGCGUGGGGGAUGACGGCCUUCGGGUUGUAAACCCCUUUCGGCAGGGACGAAGCUUUUGUGACGGUACCUGCAUAAGAAGCACCGGCUAACUACGUG